rnacentral:lncRNA from 1 species
ACACAGGCAUGCACACACACUUCUUCUAACUUUUAGAUAAAGGAAUAGCAAAGGACAGAGAACUCUUGAGUAGACUGCAUCACAUAAACUAGCUGCCAUCCAAGCCAAGCCUAAUGCAUCGUCUGCGAGUUAUUUGGAGGUAAUCCCCUAAUGAGAUGACAUAGAAGCUUGGAACUGGGUCAGUGCACGACCUUUAGUAAAACUGCAUGUUACCAC